UCUCCACCACACCUCUGCAAGGUGAACCUGGGACUGGGAGGGACAGCCUGCUGAGGACUGAGAGCGUGGGACACUUAUGACUGUCACACUCCUUCUCUGCAAAUCUUCCUCUAAAAGGCUUCCCAGGGCUUGGCUCUGCUUGGUUCUCUGAGCUCCUCCUGCAGGCAGCUGCCUUUCAGUUCACUAUUGUAUCCCAGUGAAUCCAAAAUUAGCUUGAUUCACAACAGAAAAUGAGCACAAAACCCCUCUAUAGCCAGAGAGUGAUUGUCUACAAAGUCCUAUGUGGUAGAAAUAAGGCUUUGCCCCAAGGAGCCAUCUGGCUGUGUGCCCUCUCCCACACGCACACUUCCAUUUGGCACACUUAUUGUUAUCCUGUGCUGUGAGGGAACAGAGGUACUGGCCACGGAUCCAUUGCAGAGGAGCCAGCUUAUACUCCCACGGUGCUAGGAAGGAGGCGGGACAGGUAAGACAAGCACACAAACCAUGGAAAAAACUGGAGGAAACUUUCCACACCUCUUAAGCAACUGGUGCAUUUCCCUGUGGUGUAGGUUGAGUAAGUAAGCCCGAGGAGAGAGGAUGGGGUGGACUCAGAUGCCCAGGGAGGCAAGUCUUGGUUUGGGGUUUUCAGGAAGGCAGGGCCACUUGUAGAGAUUGCAGCUGGUGGUGAACUGGGGUCUGUGGAGGUGGCAGGCAGAAAUAGCAACUCGUGUGUCCAUGGUGGCACCGUUUUCAAUGCGCCUUCAUAACCAUAUCUCGUUUGAUCCUGACAGUCCCUCUAUAAGCAGUUUGCCACUGUCAUUUUUCAGAUGAAAACAUCGAGGCUUAGAGGGGUUUCUGAGUAGCUGAGAAGUCAGGACUUCACACUCCCGAUCUUUCCCCUGGCCUCCAGUUUGCCUGGCAAAGUCACAGGAAGUAUCUCCAUGGCACCGCAUCAGCCCUCACAGAGCAGGAAACCUUGAUUUCUACAGAGGCUGUUUCCUCCCAGCCUUGUGCAAGGCCCACUGCAGAGACAAAAUUAUGGUGGCCAAAGUGUGAAUGCCAAGGCCACACUGGUAAGAGCCAGUGGCUGGGCAGCUGCAGUCACCCCACCGAAGGUAGACGGGUGUGGCUCAGUGGCAGGCAGAGGCUGGUCCCCACAGGGAGGAGGAGGGAGCCUGUGGGCGGCCCAGGGGCUGCCCCUCUGUCCCCAGGGGAGUGGGUGGAGGCCUGAGGGGGACUGUGCUGAGAUGUUUGGUCAUCAGAGGUCUGGGUGGGGGGUUGGGGAGGUAAAGCAAGAGUCUCUUAUUUUUAAACCAAUCAAUGAGAGGACAGCUGUUCUUUGUUUCCAUGAGCUCAGCAGAAGAGGAAAUGGCCUCCAUCCCUGGGAUUUGCUGGUAGAAGAAAGGGAAUCAGCGCUGACUGAGCUCCUACUAUGUGCCCUUCCUGGGCCUGGCACUGGAAUCACAGGAUGAAUGAAUAAGGCAUAUUUCCUGCCCUGAGGAGGCGUCUAUAGGGGAAGUCGGAAUUAAGGCACCUCCAGAAUUCUGAGGUCAAGGGAAUGUCAACAGAGCUGUGAACAAAAUGCCCAAAGCCAUGAAAAUCUACAGAGAGAGACUCGAAGGGGAGGAAUGGGGUAGGAGCUGGUGCCGAGGAUGAGAGGGGAGAAUUCACCUGGUGGAGAACUGAUAGGCCAGGCUGAGGUCGGGAUGGUGGAGGAGGUGGUGGAGGUGAUGAGGUACCAGAGCAACCUCGAAGAAAGCUGAGAGGCAGGAGACCGCCAAAGGCAAACUUGGAACACCUGGUGACUCCGACUAACUCUCCAUGUGGUGUCCUUGAGGACUUUUAUGAUACUGCUACCACUGCUAAUAGUAAUAAAAGCCACUAUUUAAUGUGUUUACUAUGCGCUGGGUGUGCAAAUAUUGUGGAAAGAGUGAACAUAUGUGCAGAAUGCUUAAUAAACGUGAUCUCCUUUUAUCUUCAAAAGAACAAUACAGGCCAGGUGCGGUGGCUCAUGCCUAUAAUUCCAGCACUUUGGGAGGCCGAGGCAGAUGGAUUGCUUGAGCUCAAGAAGUUUCAGACCAGCCUGGGCAACAUGGCAAAACCCCAUCUCUACAAAAAAAUACCCAAAAAAUUAGCCAGGUGUGAUGUUGCCUGCCUGUGGUCCCAGCUACUCCAGAGGUUGAGGUGGGAGAAUCGCGUGAGCCCAGAAGGUCAAGGCUGCAGUGAGCUGUGAUCCUGCCACUGCACUCCAGCCUGGGGUGACAGAGUGAGACCCUGCCUAAAAAAAAAAGAAUCAAUACGAUUAAUACUUUUACUUCUAUUUUUCAGACAAGGAAAUUGAGGCUCAGAGAGGUUAGGAACUUGCCAGAAGACCUACCAGCAAGUGGCAGAGCUAAGGUCCCAUCUGACCCCAAAGCCCACCCAUAACCGCUAUGCAGUACUGUCCAGGCAGAAACACAAACAUUACCCCAUUGUUUUUAUUCUUCAACACCUUUGGUAUCAUCCAGUCCCAGGACACUGGCUCCUGAGGAAGGAAGGCCCCUCCCACAUCCUUUAAAAUUCCCAGGCAUAAAACCAUGUUCACCAGCCACCGUGAGGGUAAGCCUCAGAGACAGGGACCGUGCCCAC
rnacentral:lncRNA from 1 species